UUCUGGCUUCGCCUUGCGCCGCUUCGAUCAAAACGGUCGAACCAACACUUCUUUACCGGGAGCUCUAUCAUUGGUCGACGGAAUGGUAUCCCGUAGACGGGAAGCAAGAAGUCGACUUGCGGGCACCCACCUGCUGAGGCAGGUUCACCGCGUCGAAGCGCGCGAGGCGGGGUUCAUU
rnacentral:other from 1 species